GCCAGGCAGGGUGGCGCAUGCCUGUAGUCCCAGCUACUUGGGAGGCUGAGGCUGGAGGAUUGCUUCAGCCCAGGAGUUCUGGGCCAUAGUGCACUAUGCCGACUGGGUGUCCGCACUGAGUUCGGCAUCAAUAUGGUGACCUUCCGGGAGCCGGGGACCACCACGUUGCCUAAGGAGGGGUGACCCGACCCAGGUCGGAAACGGAGCAGGUCAAAACUCUACGCCGAUCAGUAGUGGGAUCAAACCUGUGAACAGCCACUGCAACAGAGCAAUACCCCAUCUCA
rnacentral:SRP_RNA from 1 species